UCCCCGUUACCGGGGCAGUCUAGCCAGAGAAAUUCAACUGACUAUAGGGGUUGCGCUCGUUAAUGGACUUAACCAAACAUCUCACGACACGAGCUGACGACGGCCAUGCAUCACCUGUCACCGCGUUCUAAAAGCACAGUUUCCUUUCGGAAACCUUCGCGGGAUGUCAAACCCUGGUAAGGUUCUUCGCUUAUCCUCGAAUUAAACAACACGCUCCACCGCUUGUGCGGGUCCCCGUCAAUUCCUUUAUGUUUUAGUCUUGCGACCGUACUCCACAGGCGGGAUGCUUAACGCGUUAGCUUCGCUACUACACGGGUCGAUACGUAUAACAGCUAGCAUCCAUCGUUUACGGCGUGGACUAC
rnacentral:misc_RNA from 1 species